GAGACCAUCAGCGGAGUGACUCUAGGUGAAGAUACAGCUACUGAGAUACCAUAUUACCUACCAAGAAGACGAGCAUAUGUGUGCCACUCAAUCUAGGUCCCAACUGCCUCCAAAUCUGAAAACAUGAAUUUUAAACACGUGAGUAUAAAACUCAGUGAGUGAACAUAAAAAGGGAACAAGCAAUCAAUAGGAAGAAUUUGAAAAUCAUGAUGCACUUGUUUCAAAAAUAAUGCGAUUGGUUUAAUUUUUUACUAAAAACCCCUCAUUUCAAACCUUGAUUAAUAACCUCAUAGUGUUGCAACAACCCAUGAUCAAUCCACGAAGUUAAAUGGGUGAAAAAUAUGUCAAAAACCGAAUAGGGUAGCAUGCAGGAUAGAAUGUUUCUCGCUGCAGUGAGAAACAGUAUCAGUUUGCAUGUGUUUUAGUUUUUCUAGAAUAUCAUCCAUUAAAAAUGUUCAAUUGACCUGAUUUUUAACCAUUAGAAAGCUAAGAGGCAGGGCUACAACUUUGAUGUUUACCACUUUUCCCAGUUCAGACGGUAUGGUGGUCAAAAUCUUUAUCAAAAUGAAGGCACUGAAUCAGAACCCAAGAGUUUCUCGCUGAAGCGAGAUUUAUUUUCGCUGCAGCGAGUUUCUAGCUACAAUGAGAAUUCUUUCUCGCUACAGCGAGAAGCAGGGCACCUAAGUGAAAAAGGACCUCUUUUGCACUAAAAAUCCAUUUGGUGUUGCAAUGAACUCAAUUUGCAAGAAAAUGGGACAUUCUCAAGAUUCAUCAUGCCAAUUUCAACAUGAAAUGCUUAAAAUUUUCCAAAGUUCAACAUGCCAAAAUUUCACAUGCAUUACAAUCAUAUACCAUAUCAUGAGCUUUCUAUAACACAAACAUUUACAUAUGUAUAUAUGUAUAUAUCAAUCUCCAUGCACACCCUCCCAUCAUCAUCAGCUCAUAUGCAUUCCCUACUCGCACAUAGCUAGGUCAACAGCGGCUUAUGCGCACUCCCUACUCGCACAUAGCUGGGUUAGCAUCGGCUUAUGCGCACUGCUACUCGCACAUAGCCAGGUCGAUAUCAUCAUACAACAUUAUUUAUCCAUGUACAACAUAUAUUCGUAUAUAUAUAUAUAUUUAUAUCAACAUAUCGUGGUAGUGCAUGAAUCCAUAAUUGCCACAUAUCAACACAAAGACAAUUUAUUUAAGGGCUUGUUCCCAAGGCACCCAUUUUUAAGAAAAGUUGGGUAAAAUCAUUUAAAGUCUUGUGCAAACACAUUCACAUUCCCAAAAAUAUUUUGAAAUGCAAGUUCACUCGCCGGUCUUGUUGAUUCUUUUGCGUGACUCUAACCUCAACUAAUGCUCCAAAUGGACAUGUGAGGCCUUGUUGGAACCUAUACACACACAACAUUACAACCAACCCAAAUUGGCAUUAAUACCAUUCCAAAACUAUUUCCUAAAUUGGGUUCUACUAGUCAUUCCUAACUAGUUUCCAACCACGAUUAAAUGGCUAUUGUUUGCAAUUCUCUGGUCACACUAAAAUGAAAAACAAUCCCAACAAAUAAACUCUCACAAUUCUAAUUACUAGACAUUCUCAACACCUAAAACUUAACUAUAAUUCACUACUCACCUUGAUAACUUUAUAAUUGAAAUUCUUUCCAAAAAUUGUCAAGCUACUAUGGAAGCACCCUCUUUCUCUCUCUAAAACUUUCAACUAGUGAGAGAAAGUGCUGAACAAAUACUUUUUUUGAGGGUUUUAAGGUGUAAAAGUGGAAGAGCAUGAAAAACCAUAUGAAAGAGUGGGCAAAGGCAUGAAAUUUGGAGCUAGAGAGAGAAAGUUAUGGAAGUUGCAAAGCAAGCUUCCAUGGAGGAUGGAAGCAACGUGAGAUGGAAGAAAAAGAAGGAGAAG
rnacentral:lncRNA from 1 species